rnacentral:rRNA from 1 species
UAGUCCACGCUGUAAACGAUGGUCACUCGAUGUGCGUCCCUUGAGGAUGUGUGUCUAAGCGAAAGCGUUAAGUGGCCCACCUGGGGACUACGUUCGCAAGAAUAAAACCUAAAGGAAUUGACGGGGAUCCGCACAAGCGGUGGAGCAUGUGGUUUAAUUCGAUACUACGCGAGGAACCUUACCUAGGCUUAAAUGUACAGUGAUCAGCUGGGCAACCAGCUCUUCCGAAAGGACAGUGUACAAGGUGUUGCAUGGCUGUCGUCAGCUCGUGCCGUGAGGUGUUUGGUUAAGUCCUAUAACGAGCGCAACCCCCAUGCUUAGUUGCCAGCACAUAAAGGUGGGAACUUUAAGCAGACUGCCCGCGCAAGCGGUGAGGAAGGAGGGGAUGAAGUCAAGUCAUCAUGGGCCCUUAUGCCUAGGGGCUACACACGUGCUACAAUGGGCAUAUACAAAGGGGUCGCUACUUGGGUAACAAGAUG